rnacentral:lncRNA from 1 species
AGUGGCCUCGGCGAUUAUGGACCCGGCCGAGGCGGUGCUGCAAGAGAAGGCACUCAAGUUUAUGGCUCUAUGCCCAGGUCUCUGUGGCUGGGCUGCUCCAGCCUGGCGGACAGCAUGCCUUCGCUGCGAUGCCUGUAUAACCCAGGGACUGGCGCACUCACAGCUUUCCAGCAUACAACAGCUGUGCCAGACUCUGCUUAAACCAAGAAACAGUAUGUUUAGCAAGCACUGCUAUGAAGACUGAG